rnacentral:rRNA from 1 species
UGGGGAAUAUUGGACAAUGGGCGCAAGCCUGAUCCAGCCAUGCCGCGUGAGUGAUGAAGGCCCUAGGGUUGUAAAGCUCUUUCACCGGUGAAGAUAAUGACGGUAACCGGAGAAGAAGCCCCGGCUAACUUCGUGCCAGCAGCCGCGGUAAUACGAAGGCGGCUAGCGUUGUUCGGAUUUACUGGGCGUAAAGCGCACGUAGGCGGACUAUUAAGUCAGGGGUGAAAUCCCGGGGCUCAACCCCGGAACUGCCUUUGAUACUGGUAGUCUUGAGUUCGAGAGAGGUGAGUGGAAUUCCGAGUGUAGAGGUGAAAUUCGUAGAUAUUCGGAGGAACACCAGUGGCGAAGGCGGCUCACUGGCUCGAUACUGACGCUGAGGUGCGAAAGCGUGGGGAGCAAACAGG